rnacentral:hammerhead_ribozyme from 1 species
ACCUAGUGGACGAGUCCCAAAUAGGACGAAGCGUGCGUCCUGGAU